rnacentral:rRNA from 1 species
AUUGAACGCUGGCGGCAGGCCUAACACAUGCAAGUCGAGCGGAUGAAGGGAGCUUGCUCCUGGAUUCAGCGGCGGACGGGUGAGUAAUGCCUAGGAAUCUGCCUGGUAGUGGGGGAUAACGUCCGGAAACGGGCGCUAAUACCGCAUACGUCCUGAGGGAGAAAGUGGGGGAUCUUCGGACCUCAGGCUAUCAGAUGAGCCUAGGUCGGAUUAGCUGGUUGGUGGGGUAAAGGCCUACCAAGGCGACGAUCCGUAACUGGUCUGAGAGGGUGAACAGGCACAUUGGGACAGGGAUACGGCCCAGACUCCUACGGGAGGCAGCAGUGGGGAAUAUUGGACAAUGGGCGGAAGCCUGAUGCAGCGACGCCGCGUGGGGGAUGACGGCAUUCGGGUUGUAAACUCCUUUCGACCGCGAGGAAGCCACCUGGUUGGAAGGGUGGUGACGGUAGUGGUAGAAGAAGCACCGGCUAACUACGUG